rnacentral:lncRNA from 1 species
GUUGGUUACUGUUCUGCUUCCUUCUAGAUGCUUCCAGAUGUCAGCUUGGAUGGCUGCAUUCUCCUACCCCACUUGGCAAAGCCGUGGAGAUGACACUUGAUGAAUAUACACAGGAUCCUGCAGAGAGAAGCACUGUUGGCAAACACAUCCGGUUACAUUUUUGCUCAGUCCAGAGCUUCAGGAGUUUUGGGAACGACUCCCAGAUACGCCGUUGCUUUCCAGGAACCAGUCCCCUUUAGCAGCCUGCUGUCAGGCAGCCACUCUGGAUUCCUGCGAGGGACCCAGAAAACAGAGAUGGAACUGUCCAAGACGCAGAGGAUGACAGAGCAAGUUCAGAGAAGAAGCUAGGCCAACUGGGAGGAUUUAGGAUCAACAUGGAGUCUCACUUCUGGGUGUGUCUGUAAGGCUGUUUCCAGAAAGGUCUACGUGAGAAAGACCCUUCCUACGCAUCGAUGAUGGCAGUUCAUGGAGAAUAGUCCUAGAAUGACUAACCAGGAGAAACUGGGAAUCCAGGACCACCAGCCCAGGGAUGGCACCACCUACAAUGGACUGGGUACUCCAUCAUCAAUCACUAAUUAAGGAAAUGCUUUACAGGGUUGCCAACAGCCCAGCCUUGUAAAGACAUUUUCUCAAUCAAGGUUUCCUCCUCUCAGUUGAUUAAAGUUCAUGUCAAGUUUACAUAAAUAUAGCCAAUACUGGCA